rnacentral:lncRNA from 1 species
GAGAGAGCUAUCCAUGACAGAGGCUAAAGUUACGUAGAUGAAAAAAUAGAUCAGAAACACAGUAGAUUUUUUCAGAUAAGGAAAAUAUGAGAUAAGUUGUUGACUAAUUACCAGUUUCAGUUGUUGGUAUGUCAUUCCACUUGAAUUUGCCUGAUUGUAAUCUUGCUUGGAGCUGCCAAAUAUGCUAUGUUUACCAAUUUCUAGGUUUGUGUUCGCAAUCACUUGGAGCACCUAGCAACCUCAAAACGAUCGAC